rnacentral:rRNA from 1 species
GCUGGCGGCACGCCUAACACAUGCAAGUCGAACGAAGUAGCAAUACUUAGUGGCAGACGGGUGAGUAACAUGUAGGUAUCUACCCUUUGGCCUGGAAUAACACGAGGAAACUUGUGCUAAUACCGGAUAAGUCUUUACGGAGAAAGCUUUAUGCACCAUUGGAUGAGCCUGCACUUGAUUAGUUUGUUGGUAGGGUAAUGGCCUACCAAGACUUUGAUCAAUAGCUGAUUUGAGAGGAUGAUCAGCCACAUUGGGACUGAGACACGGCCCAAACUCCUACGGGAGGCAGCAGUGGGGAAUCUUGCACAAUGGAGGAAACUCUGAUGCAGCGAUGCCGCGUGAGUGAAGAAGGCCCUUGGGUUGUAAAGCUCUUUCGUCGGGGAAGAAAAUGACUGUACCCGAAUAAGAAGGUCCGGCUAACUUCGUGCCAGCAGCCGCGGUAAUACGAAGGGACCUAGCGUAGUUCGGAAUUACUGGGCUUAAAGAGUUCGUAGGUGGUUGAAAAAGUUGGUGGUGAAAUCCCAGAGCUUAACUCUGGAACUGCCAUCAAAACUUUUCAGCUAGAGUUUGAUAGAGGAAAGCAGAAUUUCUAGUGUAGAGGUGAAAUUCGUAGAUAUUAGAAAGAAUACCAAUUGCGAAGGCAGCUUUCUGGAUCAUUACUGACACUGAGGAACGAAAGCAUGGGUAGCGAAGAGGAUUAGAUACCCUCGUAGUCCAUGCCGUAAACGAUGUGUGUUAGACGUUGGAAAUUUAUUUUCAGUGUCGCAGCGAAAGCGAUAAACACACCGCCUGGGGAGUACG